AGCGAACGCUGGCGGCAGGCCUUACACAUGCAAGUCGAACGGUAACAGGUCUUCGGAUGCUGACGAGUGGCGAACGGGUGAGUAAUGCAUCGGAACGUGCCCAGUAGUGGGGGAUAGCCCGGCGAAAGCCGGAUUAAUACCGCAUACGACCUGAGGGUGAAAGGGGGGGAUCGCAAGACCUCUCGCUAUUGGAGCGGCCGAUGUCAGAUUAGCUAGUUGGUGGGGUAAAGGCCUACCAAGGCAACGAUCUGUAGUUGGUCUGAGAGGACGACCAGCCACACUGGGAAUGAGACACGGCCCAGACUCCUACGGGAGGCAGCAGUGGGGAAUUUUGGACCAUGGGCGCAAGCCUGAUCCAGCAAUGCCGCGUGCAGGAAGAAGGCCUUCGGGUUGUAAACUGCUUUUGUCAGGGAAGAAAUCUUCUGGGUUAAUACCUCGGGAGGAUGACGGUACCUGAAGAAUAAGCACCGGCUAACUACGUGCCAGCCGCCGCCGUAAUAC
rnacentral:rRNA from 1 species